rnacentral:rRNA from 1 species
GAUGAACGCUGGCGGCGUGCCUAAUACAUGCAAGUCGAGCGAACGGACGAGAAGCUUGCUUCUCUGAUGUUAGCGGCGGACGGGUGAGUAACACGUGGAUAACCUACCUAUAGGACUGGGAUAACUUCGGGAAACCGGAGCUAAUACCGGAUAAUAUUUUGAACCGCAUGGUUCAAAAGUGAAAGACGGUCUUGCUGUCACUUAUAGAUGGAUCCGCGCUGCAUUAGCUAGUUGGUAAGGUAACGGCUUACCAAGGCAACGAUGCAUAGCCGACCUGAGAGGGUGAUCGGCCACACUGGAACUGAGACACGGUCCAGACUCCUACGGGAGGCAGCAGUAGGGAAUCUUCCGCAAUGGGCGAAAGCCUGACGGAGCAACGCCGCGUGAGUGAUGAAGGUCUUCGGAUCGUAAAACUCUGUUAUUAGGGAAGAACAUAUGUGUAAGUAACUGUGCACAUCUUGACGGUACCUAAUCAGAAAGCCACGGCUAACUACGUGCCAGCAGCCGCGGUAAUACGUAGGUGGCAAGCGUUAUCCGGAAUUAUUGGGCGUAAAGCGCGCGUAGGCGGUUUUUUAAGUCUGAUGUGAAAGCCCACGGCUCAACCGUGGAGGGUCAUUGGAAACUGGAAAACUUGAGUGCAGAAGAGGAAAGUGGAACUCCAUGUGUAGCGGUGAAAUGCGCAGAGAUAUGGAGGAACACCAGUGGCGAAGGCGACUUUCUGGUCUGUAACUGACGCUGAUGUGCGAAAGCGUGGGGAUCAAACAGGAUUAGAUACCCUGGUAGUCCACGCCGUAAACGAUGAGUGCUAAGUGUUAGGGGGUUUCCGCCCCUUAGUGCUGCAGCUAACGCAUUAAGCACUCCGCCUGGGGAGUACGACCGCAAGGUUGAAACUCAAAGGAAUUGACGGGGACCCGCACAAGCGGUGGAGCAUGUGGUUUAAUUCGAAGCAACGCGAAGAACCUUACCAAAUCUUGACAUCCUUUGACAACUCUAGAGAUAGAGCUUUCCCCUUCGGGGGACAAAGUGACAGGUGGUGCAUGGUUGUCGUCAGCUCGUGUCGUGAGAUGUUGGGUUAAGUCCCGCAACGAGCGCAACCCUUAAGCUUAGUUGCCAUCAUUAAGUUGGGCACUCUAAGUUGACUGCCGGUGACAAACCGGAGGAAGGUGGGGAUGACGUCAAAUCAUCAUGCCCCUUAUGAUUUGGGCUACACACGUGCUACAAUGGACAAUACAAAGGGCAGCGAAACCGCGAGGUCAAGCAAAUCCCAUAAAGUUGUUCUCAGUUCGGAUUGUAGUCUGCAACUCGACUACAUGAAGCUGGAAUCGCUAGUAAUCGUAGAUCAGCAUGCUACGGUGAAUACGUUCCCGGGUCU